UACCCCCUGGGACGCGCGUGAUGCUUCGUUCACUGCAGGCCUCACAAGCAUUCAAAUAGGGUGACAACGACGGACUGGUGUGCAUGCCCCGUAAAAAGGGAAGCCUGAAGGGCCGUACUCGUCGCCCACCGUAGGCGCCAGGCCCUGCGGAGAACUAUGCACACGUCGUCCUGGGGUGCAG
rnacentral:other from 1 species